rnacentral:rRNA from 1 species
CGAAAACGAAUUCUCUCUUGAGUGGAUCCUGAGUACGACGGAGCACGUGAAAUUCCGUCGGAAUCUGGGAGGACCAUCUCCUAAGGCUAAAUACUCUCUAGUGACCGAUAGUGAACCAGUACCGUGAGGGAAAGGUGAAAAGUACCCCGGAAGGGGAGUGAAAGAGAACUUGAAACCGUGUGCUUACAAGUAGUCAGAGCCCGUUAAUGGGUGAUGGCGUGCCUUUUGUAGAAUGAACCGGCGAGUUACGAUCUGAUGCAAGGUUAAGCAGAAAAUGUGGAGCCGUAGCGAAAGCGAGUCUGAAUAGGGCGAAUGAGUAUUUGGUCGUAGACCCGAAACCAGGUGAUCUACCCUUGGUCAGGUUGAAGUUCAGGUAACACUGAAUGG